rnacentral:lncRNA from 1 species
GAGCAAUGAAAGCUAACACUAUCACUCACUACCUCACAAUGGACAACCACUGAACAGCAGAGAUUAUUAGAGGUUCAGGAGUGCCCACAACUCCAAACAGCCUAAGAUCCAUUAACCAUUGUAUUCUAAAAUGGUCCAAAACCUUAUUUGAAAGGAAGAAUGUAAUGAAGGAAGUAAAUGAAUAGAUUGCAGAGAGUAACGGAUAUGUUAAAAGAAAACAGAGGCAGGAGGAGUCUACUAUCAGUCACUCUGCAAGUUAGCAAGUUCUGGU